GUCGGUAUCGAUUAGGGGUUAAAUCACCUCGUUGUGGCGUAGUUUCUCCGAGGAGCCACUGGUUCGAUUCCAGUUACCGACA